rnacentral:rRNA from 1 species
CCUACGGGCGGCAGCAGUGAGGAAUAUUGGUCAAUGGGCGGGAGCCUGACCCAGCAACGCCGCGUGAAGGAAGAAGGCUUUCGGGUUGUAAACUUCUUUUAAGAGGGAAGAGCAGAAGACGGUACCUCUUGAAUAAGCCACGGAUAACUACGUGACAGACGCCGCGGUAAUACGUAGGUGGCAAGCGUUGUCCGGAUUUACUGGGUGUAAAGGGCGUGCAGCCGGGAAGACAAGUCAGAUGUGAAAUCCCGGGGCUCAACCGCGGAACUGCAUUUGAAACUGUUUUUCUUGAGUACCGGAGAGGUCAUCGGAAUUCCUUGUGUAGCGGUGAAAUGCGUAGAUAUAAGGAAGAACACCAGGGGCGAAGGCGGAUGACUGGACGGCAACUGACGGUGAGGCGCGAAAGCGUGGGGAGCAAACAGGAUUAGAUACCCUUGUAGUC